rnacentral:rRNA from 1 species
CCUACGGGAGGCAGCAGUGGGGAAUAUUGCACAAUGGGGGAAACCCUGAUGCAGCGACGCCGCGGGAGUGAAGAAGUAUUUCGGUAUGUAAAGCUCUAUCAGCAGGGAAGAAAAUGACGGUACCUGAUUAAGAAGCCCCGGCUAACUACGUGCCAGCAGCCGCGGUAAUACGUAGGGGGCAAGCGUUAUCCGGAUUUACUGGGUGUAAAGGGAGCGUAGACGGCAGCACAAGUCUGGAGUGAAAUGCCUGGGCUUAACCCCGGAACUGCUUUGGAAACUGUGCAGCUAGAGUGCAGGAGAGGUAAGUGGAAUUCCUAGUGUAGCGGUGAAAUGCGUAGAUAUUAGGAGGAACACCAGUGGCGAAGGCGGCUUACUGGACUGUAACUGACGUUGAGGCUCGAAAGCAUGGGGAGCAAACAGGAUUAGAUACCCCAGUAGUC